GAGAUGGAGAGCUUUGUCCAUCACCCAGAACACCAAGAUAUGACCUCCCAUGCUGCCUAUAGCUGCAAAGUAUAUAGUUUUCUCCUCGAUUGCCAGGUAAGAAACCGUAAGAGUUUAUGCCAAAAACCCAACAUGGUCGCGAAAACUCCGCAUUCAAAGAAUAAACUGGAGACACCUCAUUAUCUGCCUCAAACCAUUUGUAUAGAUUCCAG
rnacentral:misc_RNA from 1 species